rfam:Deinococcus swuensis strain DY59, complete genome.
CGGGGCGUAGCGCAGCCUGGUAGCGCACGUCGUUCGGGACGACGGGGUCGAAGGUUCGAAUCCUUUCGCCCCGA